AUUGAACGCUGGCGGCAGGCUUAACACAUGCAAGUCGAGCGGAGUGAUGGUGCUUGCACUAUCACUUAGCGGCGGACGGGUGAGUAAUGCUUAGGAAUCUGCCUAUUAGUGGGGGACAACAUCUCGAAAGGGAUGCUAAUACCGCAUACGUCCUACGGGAGAAAGCAGGGGAUCACUUGUGACCUUGCGCUAAUAGACGAGCCUAAGUCGGAUUAGCUAGUUGGUGGGGUAAAGGCCAACCAAGGCGACGAUCUGUAGCGGGGCUGAGAGGAUGAUCCGCGACACUGGGACUGAGACACGGCCCAGACUCCUACGGGAGGCAGCAGUGGGGAAUAUUGGACAAUGGGGGGAACCCUGAUCCAGCCAUGCCGCGUGUGUGAAGAAGGCCUUAUGGUUGUAAAGCACUUUAAGCGAGGAGGAGGCUCUUUUGGUUAAUACCCAAGAUGAGUGGACGUUACUCGCAGAAUAAGCACCGGCUAACUCUGUGCCAGCAGCCGCCGUAA
rnacentral:rRNA from 1 species